GGUGCCACCUGGCAUAGACAUCUGCUACCACAUUGACCUCCAGGUUGUCUUGGCUGCUCUGCCUGGCAUGCCAGCUGCCUACAUCUUUCUUCACCACUCCAAGUUGGUCUUUCCACAUCUGACGUUUCUAUAAAGAGAUCAAUCUUCCCAUACAGAUAAGAGUGUUUCUGAAUUAAGGGUAUAGGAAAGGAGGGUAGCUUUUUAGAACUUCUAAAACUAGAUUUCAAAGCCCAUAAAAAGUAUGUUGAUUUUCCCUUAUUUCUAGAAAAUUAGAAAUAGUGUGUGGUUUUC
rnacentral:snRNA from 1 species